AUGGUUCGGCUCAAAUUCGCAUGUCCGGUCCUCGAAAUCAACUUAAUCUCAGCACAAGACCUAGCCCCUAUCUCAAAAAACAUGAAAACAUACUCCGUCGCGUGGAUCAACACCGAUCCCAUGCGUAAACUCACGACGCGUGUGGACCAAGCUAACCGAGCUAACCCUAUCUGGAACGAGAAGUUCGUGUUCCGCGUAGACGACAAGAUCCUCGACGUCGACGCGUCGUCGAUAGUCAUCGAGAUAUACGCGGCGGCUUGGGCCAAAGACGCGCUCGUCGGGACCGUGAACGUUCUCCUCAGCGACCUCUUCGCUCCCUGGUCCGGCUUCGGAGACGGAGACGACGGCGGCGGCGGGAACAACAACAUGAGGCUCGUGACGCUUCAGAUCCGCCGCCCUUCCGGGAGGCUUCAAGGCUUUUUGCGUUUAGGCGUCGCGCUUCUCGACGGCGGUCAGAGGAGUAUGCCGUUGUCGGUCGAGGUUUUUGAUGGAAGUCGGAGAGAUAGUAAGAGAGAUGAUGCGAAGAUGAUGCAUCGUCGUACGAAUAGCGAUCAGACGGAUUUAACUACGUCGACUAAUGAUUACGGAGUGAAGACAGGGGUUGUUAGUGGAGGAGGUGGUAGUGGUGGAGGAGGAGGAGGAAUCGUCCAUGAAAAAAAUCAUACCUUUUGCUUUAAAAUUUUCAAGAGAAAAAAAAACAGAACACAGACCCAACCAAUUGAAGAGAAACAGCAAAUAAUCAUUUUAAGCUGAUUCAAAAUCUUGAGAUUAUACUUUCUUAUCCUCCAUGAACCAAUACCACAUCAACAAGAGACAAUAAAUGAACAUAAUCAGCAAAUAUAAUGACUUUAAGCUGAGCUAAAAACAAAAAUCAAUAACAGAUCAAACGGACAAUUAGUUAGUGUUCAUUUCUCUUCCCUCCACAAAUCAUAAAGAACAAAAAACCAAUCAGCUAACUCUCUGAAGAGACACACACCGAUGUCUAAGAAUGCCGACAGUGAGUAAAUGGAUUAUAGAAUCUCCUCACAACCAAAAAAAGGAAAGAAAAAGACAGAAUCUUCUUACCCGACCAAGCAACACAGCAUCCAAUACCAAAAGGGCUUUUAAUCCUUGAAUGAUUGAACUAAACCAAAAAAAAUUGUCUUUUUAAGUAUUUGUCUUCUCGAUUUUCCCAAACAAAACAAAACUAUUUUUCUCUUCCUGAAUUAUUUGAGAAGACUAUAAAAGGAGAUUCAUGUAGAGCAGAGCUGCAGAGUCAAUCAAUAGAUGUUUCUCUGCCGUAGAGGAUUACGAAAGGCCGUGUUUUAAAAUGAAGCGUAUGGGGUCCAUCUGAUGUUUGCUUCUAUUUUGAUUGGUCGAGUGUUGCUCGGUGCUUAUAACGUCAAGGCACUACCCAAUAUUCAUUUUUAGACAUUUUCAUAAUGUUUGACCUAACCUAGUAGUAGUUUUAAAUUUGUUUGAUUUAAUUGAUCUUCUAUUAACAUUAUACAAACUCUGAUCGACUGAAAGUGAUAGAAGAAAAUUAUUUAAAAUAUUUUUAUUCCACCAAUACCCAAUCCUGUUGUUAGUACACGAGGCUAGAGCAUAUAAUUAGGCCAUUUUACAGGUUCAACUAAAGAAAAUAAUACAGAGAACGUAAUAAUAAUUCAUCAUUCCGCAUCGUAUUGGGCUUUUAUUGGGCCGAUCAGACUCGUUGUAACUCGAGUAUUAAAAGUUUAUUUUGGGCUGAAAACUAUACUUAUAGAGAAUCAAAGCCCGAACUAAACCAGAGGAAGAACAAUUCUUGUUAAGUGCUUAUAACCAGAUUAACCGAACCAAACCAGAGGAAGAACCGGUCCACAUACUAUUGUUUGAUUUUGACACAGAAAUUAAAAUCUCACAGGCAAAAUUAAAUGUUGAACAAAACCAUAAUUACUAGAAUCACGAUUAAGGCAUAACACAAGUCUAAGACAAAAACAAAACAUCCUCAACAGAGGUUUGAUAAAACGUUCAAGCAACACAAAAGAGAGAUAGAACUUAAACGAUGGCGUUAGCAGCACUAGCGAUCCUUGGCCACAGGUCGGCACACUCCUUCCCGAUUGGUCCAGUGAUAGCAGAUCCUACACAUUACACACAGACAUUCAUCAGCUACCAAAGAUAACACGAUUAACUCAAAAUCAAAUAAACACGAUGUUAUUACCUUUCAUUUCACCCUUGGGAUUGACAAUGACACCAGCAUUAUCUGCAAUCAACCACACCAACUUUCAUUAGACUUCAAACAAUAAUAGACAGACAGAUGAAGAUAUGAUUAAAAUGAUUACCCUCGAAGUACAUGAAGACACCGUCCUUUCGGCGCCAUGGCUUCCUCUGCCUAACAAUGACAGCUGGCAGCACCUUCUUACGUAGAUCAGGUUUACCUUUCUUCACGGUAGCCAUGACCAUGUCACCAACACAGGCGGAUGGGAGACGGUUGAGACGACCCUUGAUACCUUUGACGGAGAUGAUGUAGAGAUUCUUGGCUCCGGUGUUGUCAGCACAGUUCACGGUGGCUGCCACUGGAAGACCCAGUGACAUCCUGAACUUGUUUCCAGAGGUUCCUCCUCUUCCUAUUAACAAUCGAAACAAAACAUUACAGAUGAGCAACACUAUUAAACAAUAAACAAAAAUAUUCCAAAUGAGAAACACUAUAAAUCAACCUAAGUAACAGACAUAUCGUUAAGAUCUCAACAUAUGAUUCGUGACAAAGUUUAUAUACGUAAUCCUUGAAACUAAUCACAAUCACGGCAGUACACAUUGAUGGUAACGCAGAUUCAGCUUUAUAAACGACAAUCAAUCAUGAAAGGUGCUAAUCACUAGAUAUUCAUUAUGAGAGGACAAGGUAGCACAAGCGAGCAUAUGAAUAAAAGUCUUGACAAAAGGAAGAGAUUGUUACCUCGCUUCGACAUGGUUGCAGCUCUCGUUGGGAAGAGCUCGACGGCAGUGAGGAGGCGGUAUAUAAGUUGUUAUGCUAGGGCUUACUACAACUAUUUCAUGCUGACCUGGAUAGUGAUUAUGGGCCCUGAGAAGCUUACCCAUAAGCCCAAUAGUGUAAUACAGAUUACAAUCUAUUAUGGGCCCGAAAAGCAUACUAAUGAGGCCUAUAAUGCAAUACUCCUAUUUCUCAAUUAUCUUCACUCUAAUCUCGAACAAUGCAUCAUCAUUGUCAUAAAGUAAUGUGUUCUUAUUCAGAUUAACCAUCAUGUAGUACAAUUUAGACUCUAGAACUCUUAAAAAGGAGACAUGACCAAUUUAUUUCUUUAAAGAAGACCUUAAUGUUAAUAUAUUUGACAUUAAUGAAAUCUCUAGAACAAACCAACCAUUAACAAUGAGUUUCUUUGGUUACCCAACAUAACUCUUAUUCGUGUCUAAACAAUCUUUUGUCAGCUAACUGAGAAGAAUCUGCUCAGUUCACAUAAUCCUACCUAAAGAAAGGGGAUAUUUCUAAGUGAAGAGGUGUGGCGAACAUAAGACUUCUCUCUUGAACUUAAGCAGAAGCAGCUCAGGAUGGAUCAAAGUGUAUGUGUGUUAUUAUGUUUUACUCUGAUGUUCAGCCUCAUUUUCUUUUUAAUGCCAUCGCUUUGGAACCUGCGUUACAAGAUUUUGCAGGUAUUAGUAAACACCCAACGACUAAAUGAAUCAUUCACAAAUCAUAAUGGGAUCAAAAGCUUUAGAGAGGACAAACUAUGACAACUGAUGCCUAUCUUGUCUCAAGACUAGAACAAUUUACUCACCUGCUUGUUUUUUAGCAGGAACAGCCUUUCUUCUUUCUCCUGACUUGCCUCCAGAUCCUGACAUAUGUCCCACCAUAAUGCAUAAUUAGCCAUGAAAACUCAGUUUUCUUUGAACCAAUGUAUUUUACGAAAUGUUCGGAUCUCUUACCGAACAAAACAUGUUCUAACUUAGAAUCUGUGUGCAUACAAAGGAUGCAAGCCAAUGCUCUGUCGUAAAGAUUUGAAUAACGAAGGCAAUGUGUAAAGAUAACUGACCUUUUGGCUUUUUGUCUCUGCAUAAUUCGCUUCCGCAGCAACAUCUAAAUGCCUUCACGGGAUGACUUUCAUCAUGGAAAUCUAUCAAGUAAUCCUGCGCAUUCAAAAAACACGGGUUAUUUGAACGGAGUAUGUGUACAACUCAAGAGUAAAUAACAUUACGUGUUUGGUCCAGCUCGUUCGUGGAGUCAUAUACAAACAAAGCAGAUAUAUAUAUAUAAAAUGGCAAAAUCAAUAUCAUGUCUAGUUGUUUAGCUUCAGUGACAUAUCCACAGUUGCGUGCUUACCCAUGUCAGUUCAUCCAUGGCCUUCACGUCUCGAAUGGUAAAAAAGGCAAUCUGCACAUGACCAAACCCAAAAUCCUUAAGCUCGCUGAAAACUUACUUUAACAAUCAGUGCCUUGAUCAUGUUAAGAGUGGCGAAAUCAUAUACUUACAUGAUAAUAAUGUCUGUCAGGAGUCUCUAUUUGUACCGGAAUAUCAAUCAAGUUUGCAUCCUCACAUCUGCAUCAACAGUAGAGUUCAUAAGAAGAUAAAGCACGAAAGAAACAAAGCAUAAUGAGAGUUGAUUGGUACUACCUGUGAUUGACAAAUCUAGCGACAUUUCCACAGACUGUGGCAUCCAGGCAGAGAGCUUCUUCAUCUUUCAAAUCCUUUUCAGAACCCCAGUCUGCAUCCAGAGUUACAGGAUAUGUAUGCCGUUCACUAGUAGAUCUUAUAUUCCGAUCGUACAACUCCGUAUUGGUCAAUAUUUCACCAAUAUAUUCACAAACAAAGGUUCCUUUCGGCAAGUCUUGCAGUGUUCUAAUACCCCAUCCUUUCCCUUCUUGGGUAAAGUAAACCUGCAACAAAUAUUUUACUAGUCAAACAUCACAAGACAUGAAGCAAUGGUCGGCAUAAAAGAACUAAAGUAGCAUGUUACCUGGAGUUGGCACCUUAUCCCUCUCUGCACCACUCGAUUCCCACACAUCAUAUCACAUCCACACUUUCUCCAACACUCCUUAAUAAACUUCCUAAUCAAAUGUCCUUCACACUUCCCAUCAUCUCUCUCCAAAGGGCAGUCUUGGCAGUAAAACUUACUGAAGCUAUCAGGCGCCUUCUUCAUCUUAAGACAAGUAUCCAAAAACUCCUCCUUUAACAACCCAUCUUUACUAUACGCAUACUCUCCGCCGGUUUCACGAGCACAAGCACACGGAAAGUCCGCUGAAAGACAGUCCCCCUUACAGCUCGCGCAACAAUCGUCAUCAGAAAUUCUAGCCAGAGACACAUGGACAUAAGCACUUUGGUAAACAAUGUUGUGAGGGAUGUAAGUAAACUUGGGGACUUGCUCAGUCCCAACCUCAUCAACCAGAGAUAUCUCAACGCUCUCUGAGCCUUUCGUGAUGUCACGAAUAAUCGUUUUAUACUUCUUCUUGCGAACAACACCGUUGCUAGGAUGCUUCUGAGCUUCCUCAGUGGACGAGCCUGAGGCUGCGGAACGGGUUUCGUAUUUUCUUUUCAGAGUAGCAGGAGAGUCAGUGCCCACAACAACAUUCUUCCCUUGCUUCUUCAGAGCACCACUAGGAGGAGAGUCAAAGACAUGCUUCCCUCUAGUGCCGUUAGAUAAAGUUUCGUUUUUUUUCUUAUCCUCUUCUUCUUCUUCUUGUUCUUCGUCGAGAGAGUAGAUAGCGUCGAUCAAUGCGGUGUAGUUAUCAAGUUUGAUGAGAGUCCAAUUCUCACCGUUCUCUUGGAGAAGCUUCUUAAGCACUGAGAGUGUCUUCUCAUCGGGGAUUUUUAGUUCUCUUGUUGUCUCACAAGCUUUGCGUACUCUCUCGUCAGUGAGAAUCAAAGGCUGCAUAUCGAGAUCACCUCUACACACCAAACUUUUUAAGCAAAAAAAAAAUUAAUAAAAAAUUAUCACUAUUAAAAUCCAAUUAAGUUAUCAACAAUCAAAGCAUAUUCUCACUAAAUCGAAUAAGCACGGAAACAAAUCUCAAUCGAUUCGAUUCGAAUGCAGAAACAUCAUCAAAUCAACGAGGAGAAAAGUUUCCUAAAAAUUUGGAGUUUGAAGCCUAAAUAAAUCCAAAAAAAUCGCCGAAUCGCGAAACUAAUACAGAGAGAGGCCUAAAGUAAUCGUAGAUUCCGUAAGAGAUCACAUUGAGAGCUUGCAGAGAAGGAAGGAAAGAAGAACCUCUCAGUGGUUAGUUGGGGGGGAGAGUGAGUAAUUGAAGCGGAAGCUUCUCGAAUUGAAUUGAAUUGCAUGCAGAGAGAGGAGAUCGAACUUUGUGUGAGACUUUGAAAAAGAAAUUAUAAAUUAAAAAAAAAAUAUUACUAAAAAAGUAAAUGGAUCCGAUCAAUUCACAGAGUCAGAGAAUCCGAUUCACGGCGGAGUACACUGUUUGUUUAGAUUUUUUCUUCUUUUGUCUUUCUUACUGAAGAGACUGUGUUUAUUAUGUUUUUAGGCCCAUUUACCUGAGAGGCCCAAAUAAAAUCUUUUCUUUUAAAACGGCGUGGUAUUGAACUCAAAUUUGGAUUCUGCCGAACCUACCCAACAUCGGUUAAGGUCACAUUUAAUUAGACUACAAUUUCCAGUUAAUUUGGAUUUAUAUAGUUCAGUUGACCACAAGCGCCAUUUAUCAAUGGACCACAUAAGUUAUUCUCCUAUGUUUUUGAAACAACUUAAUGACUAUCUCACGUCUAUGAACUUCUAGUUAAUAGGAUAGUAACAAGUGGAUGCCAUAAUCUUUCCACAAGUUUUUUCAGAAUUUAUAUAAGUGUUGAAAGAUUUAUAUAUAAGGUGACAUAUAUAACUUUUACGGAAAAUUAUUAAUCAAAUACAAAUAUUUCACAUUAUUAUAUCAUCUCACUAUUGUAAUAUUCCCAACCGAAUUUGAAAGCUUUCAUUGUGAAGCAAAUGGUAAGAAGCAAAAUUUCUUUGGUUGCUUUAACAAAAACAAGGGACCAGCAAAAUUUUCCCAACGUCUCUCCGAUGUAGACCUUCUCUUCAACAAUCUGCAAUACAAAUUUGAAUAUUCCAUCGAUAUUAUUUUAGUUACUCAACUCUUUUUUUAUUUUUUUUUGCUAACAUACUCAACUCAUUUAUCUCUUACUAUAGGUAAUUAGUAGCUAAUUCCUAGCAGUCAUCAUUUGUAACUUUUCUUCAUACCUAUCCCUUGUUUUUUUUGGACAAAUUCUUUAUACCUAUAUUGUUAAACUUCUAAUUUUCAGCUGUAUGAGUAAAUCUCUAUAUUAGAUAAACUUAAAUAAAAGAAGAGUAAUAGAUUAAACGUACCAUCUCCUUUUCUACGCAAGCUCUUGAGGAACAAGAAGAAAAUAGCAACAAAGACCAAAGCCGCGACUCCUCCUACAACUAUCGCCAACGACUUCCCCGUGCUUGUUUUUCCCCUUUCCUCUGCCAAAACAAAAAUAUAUCUUACCAACUUAUAUUUGUUUGAUUAUCUAAGUUCAAGUUCGGAGUUGUUAAAAAAAAAAAGGUUCAAGUUCGGUUUGACUUGAAAACAACUAUUGCAAAUUAAAGUUAUUGUUUAUUGAUUAUAUUUAUAUAUAUAACACAUAAUCCUUAUUUACUCGGUUUGGCUAUACUAAAGUUGAGUAUGUUUUUUAUUUUUUUAUUAUAAAUUUGUUAAUCAGUUUAUAAAUAAUAAAAAAUCGUUUUUGGUAAAUAUUUAUAUUGAAAUAAGUGAUAAUAUUAAUGUGUUGAGACGUAUUUGCAUUUGUACAUAUAUAUACAUGCAUACGUACCGUGGUAUGAAUCACCGGGAUAUUCAUGCGGGUUAUACGUAUACCCAACGUAACACCCUUCCAAGUAUAUUUGACUGGCGGUGGACCACGGACACUCUUCUGCCGCUGUUGCCGCGGCCGCACUGACGCACUCGCCGCAAUCACAGGCUUCAACGUGGCCGUCGCAUUGAGCCACAACGUGCAAGAGCUUGUAGCUUUCCUCGUAGAACCCGUGCCCGUCAACGACUCCUGUUUCGGCAGCUGUGAGUGCCACCGUUCUCAUCUCUUCGAAUCCGACGAGCGUCUCCGCCGUAGCUCCGUCACAUAUCUUGUGGAUGAGACCUCGUUCCGGUGUUUCCAAUAACUUGUAGUUAUGAUGAUUAGCUUCUCCGAAAACGAAAGCAACAAAUAAAUAGUGUUGGAAAAAAAAACUAUAAAAUGUUAUCUAGAUAUAGCAUUUAUAUUUACGUAAAGGUCCAUCUCCUAGCAAAUUCACAUUUAAUAAAUCAUUCAGCCCUUCAGUUUUUACAUCAAACAAAGUUAUUAAAUAUACAAUGUAAUGUAAUACUUACGAGAAGUAGGGGUAUCAACAUGUUCAAUUUCGUACACCAUGUGACAUCCUCGGAGAUGAACCCGAGCUGACGUGGCAUUUCCACACAAUCUAGACGAAAUAUCACGAAGCUCACGAACGCAUCUAUGGCAUAUCUCACUCGGGUAAUCUUCUCUGCAUUGGAACCAUCCCGAGACCGCGUGUUGCUCGUUACCAACUAGAGUCUUAAAGAACUUCGCUCGAGAGGAUUCUGAUUCGAGUUUGCUUAAGAAAGAAUAAAGAGCUUGCGCACGAAGAAGGAGAUUAGGAUUCGAGUAACUUGGAUCUUUUCUGGUUACUUUUUGGAGGAUGUUUGUGUCUGAUGAAUCACAUUGACUGAACACUAGAGUGUCGUAAUCCAACUGGGAUGUGUUAAUGAGAGAGGGAAGAGAGAUGAAGAUUAGGGCUAGGGUUCGUGCGAUAGGAGAGAUCAAGUGGACAACCAUAUUUGAGACAUAUAUUGAAAGAUCAUAAGUUCAUUGAGUAUAUAUUGGUGAAUAGAGAUGGAUGUUGUGGUAGUUUUAGAUAUUGUCUACGUAUCUCUACUUAAAACCCGACCUAUAUAUAUGUCAUCCUGUCUAUUUAUUUGUAUCAUUUGGUUGUGACUUGUGAGGGCAAGUACACGUGAGAUCAUAACCGGUAGAUAUAUUAUAUUAUUAUCACCAGUUUUUGAAUUCGCUACAAAUGUAAAACGCAAUAGUUUGUAGAUAAGACAAUGUUUUCUUUCUAGCCUAACUCUUAUCUAAUCAAUUUCUCAUCGGUCUGAACAAAUUGUAAUAACUUGUACAGUCUGCACUCUUGCAAGUAUCAUAUUUUCAUAAAGGUUUAGAUAGCAGUAAAAAGAUAUUUCCGCUCAACUAAACUGACCUACCAAGGUGGUAGACCCAUAAUGUUAAAAAAAAAAAAGGGUGGUAAACCCAUACACGUUUACAACUAGGGGACAUCUUUGUAAAGUUUAAAUUAUUAUUUAGACCAAUAAUACCAUAUUAUAUACUCUCCAUUUCUAAAAGAUCUAUAUUAUAGUUUUUUACAUUUAAAAAAAAACAUUUAAAAUUAUAUUUUUAAUACAUUGUUUUUCUUAAUUAAUUAUUUUCAAUAACUUUUAACCAAUUGUAUAGCCUGCAUGGAGCUUGUUAUCAGCAAUACCAUUUGAUUUUUUUUUCAAAAAAAGUUAAAUACUUUUCAUGAACAUGAAAUUACGUAAAAUAAAGAAACUAAACGAGCUAGUGAAUCUAGAAAAGGGAUUCGGGAUCAAUAAACGAAAAAGUAAAACCCACGACUCAAUACCAAUAUUCAAGCCGAAACUGAAUCCAAAGCUAAUAAAAAGCAAGGAUAUGUAUACAAAAAAAAAACACUAGAAUUUCUUCAUUAUAAGAAAACUAAAAUUACGAAGGAAAAUAUAAAACUCCUCUAUUCUUUCGUAAAACUCCGUUAAUUCGUUUUACGACAGAAACUUCUUCUCAUUUGUCAGAAAGAUCUUCUGUUUUUUCAUUACAACAAAAAGUCAAAGAGUCAAAGAGUCCUCAACUUUUAUAACCAAUCUUCCGUUGAAAACAGUACGUUAAAUAAAAACCAACGGUCGAGUUCUUAUCAUGUCUAAAAACCACCAGCUCCUCCCUAAUCUCACGCUCCUUCCCUCCUUCCUUUUUAUCCUCCUUCUCAAUCUCUUCUCAACUGAUCGUAUAAUCAUUUCACGAGAGACGAGUGAAACACAAGAAGGUUAACCCUUUCUUGGCUCCCACGCUUCUCGCGAAAGAUUAAACGAAUCCAUUUAGGUUUUUUAGAACACACAAUAAAAAAAAACAUGGUUCGGCUCAAAUUCGCAUGUCCGGUCCUCGAAAUCAACUUAAUCUCAGCACAAGACCUAGCCCCUAUCUCAAAAAACAUGAAAACAUACUCCGUCGCGUGGAUCAACACCGAUCCCAUGCGUAAACUCACG
rnacentral:lncRNA from 1 species